GUCCUUUUGAGUGUAUAUAAGGUCUGACCUGCCCAGUGAUUUAUUUUAACGGCCGCGGUAUAUUGACCGUGCAAAGGUAGCAUAAUCAUUAGUCUUUUAAAAGAGGGCUGGAAUGAAAGGUUUGACGAGGUAUUAACUGUCUCAUUUUAUUUGGAUUUAGAAUUUAACUUUUUAGUCAAAAGGCUUAAAAUUUAAUUGGUAGACGAGAAGACCCUAUAGAGCUUUAUAUUAAUUAUUUUAAUUAUAAUUAUAUGAUUUUUAAUUGAAUGUAUUAUUAUUUUGUUGGGGUGACAAAGAAAUAAGAAUAACUUUUUUAUUUAUUUAACAUUAAUUUAUGGUUAUUUGAUCCAUUAUUAUUGAUUAUUAGAUUAAGUUACCUUAGGGAUAACAGCGUAAUCUCCUCCCAGAGUUCAUAUUUACGAGUGGGGCUUGCGACCUCGAUGUUGGAUUAAGAUAAUAAUUAGGUGUAGCCGCUUAAUAUAUAGGUCUGUUCGACCUUUAAAUUCUU
rnacentral:rRNA from 1 species